rnacentral:rRNA from 1 species
GACAGAGGUGGCAAGCGUUGUUCGGAUUUACUGGGCGUAAAGAGUGCGUAGGUGGUGAGGUAAGACCUGUGGGAAAGACCUGGGCUUAACCCAGGAAGGUCGCAAGUGACUGCCUCGCUUGAGGACGGGAGAGGAGAGCGGAAUUCCCGGUGUAGCGGUGAAAUGCGUAGAUAUCAGGAGGAACACCUGUGGUGUAGACAGCUUACUGGACCAUUUCUGACGCUGAGACACGAAAGCGUGGGUAGCAAACAGG